rnacentral:misc_RNA from 1 species
GAGGUUGCCAUCAUCCCCUCAAAAAGGCUGCGAAACAAGAUUGCUGGUUUCUCAACCCACUUGAUGAAGAGAAUUCAGAAGGGUCCAGUCAGGGGCAUCUCAUUGAAGCUGCAAGAAGAAGAGCGUGAACGCCGUAUGGACUUUGUCCCAGAUGAAUCAGCCAUCAAGAUUGACGAAAUUAAGGUCGACAAAGAGACACUUGAUAUGCUUGCUGCUUUUGGUAUGUCAGAUAUUCCUGGACUUGUGGAGGUCGAGCCACAGGCUAUGAUUCCGCCCCAAGCCUUUGGAAGGGGUGCAGGUGGCCCAAGGAGAUACUAAGGUAAUUGAGACUACUCGACAACUUUUGGGAAUUAGAAGUUUUUUGUUAUUCAAUAUUGCAAGGCCAUGGAUAUUCUUGUUGCUUGUUAUUAUCAGAUUGGUCCUUAAAUGUGGUACUUGUCUUUUUAGUUUUGAUUUUGAAUGGAUGUUUAAAUCAUUUUGGACAUGGAUGCCGGAUGGUGAUACUUUUGUUUUAAGUAUUGGAGAUUUCUGAAGUAAACGUUUU